rnacentral:sRNA from 1 species
UGUCUUUAGUUUUACUGUCUGGAGAAUCAGAUGCACACCUUCACUUAGCUGUGAAUGUCACCUCCACCCAGCCCAGUGCCCAGAGGCCAAAAUUUGGCCCAGAUCUCUCCUUACCUCCUAGCCCCAGCACCAGGUGUAUUCAUCAGAGGAGCCCAGGUGGAGGGUGCGCUGGGCCCCCUGCCAAGCUUCCUGUGGGGACGGCAGGCCCAGUAGCCUUUCGGCCAGCCCGUCUCUGGGGGCACUGCCUGCUGUGGAACGGCCAGAGCUCCUGUUCCUAGGUGGGUGACCAGACCCCACACAGCAUGGGCAACCUGGCCCAGGUCCCUUAUCUCUCUGUCCCCUGGUCCCUUUGCCCAAGGAAAGGCCCCCCUCUCCACACCAUCUCCCUAUUUUUGGAAGCCCACUUUGCAGACUUCUCCCUGCUCUGGGAGUCGGAGCUUGUGGGCCAGCCUUCCAUCUCCCCUUGCAGGUAUGUCAGUGGCACCUCCCAGUGAGGAGAUGGGUUCAAGGGGAGGGACUGGGUUGGCCUUCCCUUUGCAUGGUACUGAGUGUGGAGUGUGUGGCAAAUGCAUCACACACCAUGUAUCCCUGGAGCUGUAUAAAUGAGGCUGGUCUACGGGGUCCAGGACUUGCUUUAUCCAGGAGGGGAGCAGCGGACCUGGCCACUUCCAUCCCCACAGCCCUGUUUCUGUGUUUUUGGCAGGAUGCAACCUGAAGAUCUUCAACAACCAGGAGUUCGCUGCCCUCCUGGCCCAGUCCGUCAACCAGGGCUUUGAGGCUGUCUACCAGUUGACCCGAAUGUGCACCAUCCGCAUGAGCUUCGUCAAAGGCUGGGGAGCGGAGUACAGGAGACAGACUGUGACCAGUACCCCCUGCUGGAUCGAGCUGCACCUGAAUGGGCCUUUGCAGUGGCUUGACAAGGUCCUCACCCAGAUGGGCUCCCCAAGCAUCCGCUGUUCCAGUGUGUCUUAGAGACAUUAAGUAUGGUAGGGGAGGGCAGGCUUGGGGAAAAUGGCCAUGCAGGAGGUGGAGAAAAUUGGAACUCUACUCAACCCAUUGUUGUCAAGGAAGAAGAAAUCUUUCUCCCUCAACUGAAGGGGUGCACCCACCUGUUUUCUGAAACACACGAGCAAACCCAGAGGUGGAUGUUAUGAACAGCUGUGUCUGCCAAACACAUUUACCCUUUGGCCCCACUUUGAAGGGCAAGAAAUGGCGUCUGCUCUGGUGGCUUAAGUGAGCAGAACAGGUAGUAUUACACCACCGGCCCCCUCCCCCCAGACUCCUUUUUUGAGUGACAGCUUUCUGGGAUGUCACAGUCCAACCAGAAACACCCCUCUGUCUAGGACUGCAGUGUGGAGUUCACCUUGGAAGGGCGUUCUAGGUAGGAAGAGCCCGCAGGGCCAUGCAGACCUCAUGCCCAGCUCUCUGACGCUUGUGACAGUGCCUCUUCCAGUGAACAUUCCCAGCCCGGCCCAGCCCCGCCCCGCCCCACCACUCCAGCAGACCUUGCCCCUCGUGAGCUGGAUAGACUUGGGAUGGGGAGGGAGGGAGUUUUGUCUGUCUCCCUCCCCUCUCAGAACAUACUGAUUGGGAGGUGCGUGUUCAGCAGAACCUGCACACAGGACAGCGGGAAAAAUCGAUGAGCGCCACCUCUUUAAAAACUCACUUACGUUUGUCCUUUUUCACUUUGAAAAGUUGGAAGGAUCUGCUGAGGCCCAGUGCAUAUGCAGUGUAUAGUGUCUAUUAUCACACAUUAAUCUCAAAGAGAUUCGAAUGACGGUAAGUGUUCUCAUGAAGCAGGAGGCCCUUGUCGUGGGAUGGCAUUUGGUCUCAGGCAGCACCACACUGGGUGCGUCCCCAGUCAUCUGUAAGAGCUUGCUCCAGAUUCUGAUGCAUACGGCUAUAUUGGUUUAUGUAGUCAGUUGCAUUCAUUAAAUCAACUUUAUCAUAUGCUCUUUU